CACCGCGGUUAUACGAGAGGCCCAAGUUGAUAAAUACCGGCGUAAAGUGUGGUUAAGAUAAGACCUGGAUUAAAGUAAAAUGUCUUCAAGGCUGUUAUACGCACCCGAAGGUAAGAAACCCAACCACGAAAGUGACUUUAUGAUACUGAACCCACGAAAGCUAGGACA
rnacentral:rRNA from 1 species